UGGGACUUGGGGGGGUGGCUAUACAUGCAAGUCGAACGCUUUGUGGUUCAACUGAUUUGAAGAGCUUGCUCAGAUAUGACGAUGGACAUUGCAAAGAGUGGCGAACGGGUGAGUAACACGUGGGAAACCUACCUCUUAGCAGGGGAUAACAUUUGGAAACAGAUGCUAAUACCGUAUAACAAUGACAACCGCAUGGUUGUUAUUUAAAAGAUGGUUCUGCUAUCACUAAGAGAUGGUCCCGCGGUGCAUUAGCUAGUUGGUAAGGUAAUGGCUUACCAAGGCGAUGAUGCAUAGCCGAGUUGAGAGACUGAUCGGCCACAAUGGGACUGAGACACGGCCCAUACUCCUACGGGAGGCAGCAGUAGGGAAUCUUCCACAAUGGGCGAAAGCCUGAUGGAGCAACGCCGCGUGUGUGAUGAAGGGUUUCGGCUCGUAAAACACUGUUGUAAGAGAAGAAUGACAUUGAGAGUAACUGUUCAAUGUGUGACGGUAUCUUACCAGAAAGGAACGGCUAAAUACGUGCCAGCAGCCGCGGUAAUACGUAUGUUCCAAGCGUUAUCCGGAUUUAUUGGGCGUAAAGCGAGCGCAGACGGUUAUUUAAGUCUGAAGUGAAAGCCCUCAGCUCAACUGAGGAAUUGCUUUGGAAACUGGAUGACUUGAGUGCAGUAGAGGAAAGUGGAACUCCAUGUGUAGCGGUGAAAUGCGUAGAUAUAUGGAAGAACACCAGUGGCGAAGGCGGCUUUCUGGACUGUAACUGACGUUGAGGCUCGAAAGUGUGGGUAGCAAACAGGAUUAGAUACCCUGGUAGUCCACACCGUAAACGAUGAGUGCUAGGUGUUUGAGGGUUUCCGCCCUUAAGUGCCGCAGCUAACGCAUUAAGCACUCCGCCUGGGGAGUACGACCGCAAGGUUGAAACUCAAAGGAAUUGACGGGGACCCGCACAAGCGGUGGAGCAUGUGGUUUAAUUCGAAGCAACGCGAAGAACCUUACCAGGUCUUGACAUCCCUUGACAACUCCAGAGAUGGAGCGUUCCCUUCGGGGACAAGGUGACAGGUGGUGCAUGGUUGUCGUCAGCUCGUGUCGUGAGAUGUUGGGUUAAGUCCCGCAACGAGCGCAACCCUUAUUACUAGUUGCCAGCAUUCAGUUGGGCACUCUAGUGAGACUGCCGGUGACAAACCGGAGGAAGGUGGGGAUGACGUCAAAUCAUCAUGCCCCUUAUGACCUGGGCUACACACGUGCUACAAUGGCGUAUACAACGAGUUGCCAACCCGCGAGGGUGAGCUAAUCUCUUAAAGUACGUCUCAGUUCGGAUUGUAGGCUGCAACUCGCCUACAUGAAGUCGGAAUCGCUAGUAAUCGCGGAUCAGCACGCCGCGGUGAAUACGUUCCCGGGUCUUGUACACACCGCCCGUCACACCAUGAGAGUUUGUAACACCCAAAGCCGGUGGGGUAACCUUCGGGAGCCAGCCGUCUAAGGGUGACAAGAUU
rnacentral:rRNA from 1 species